GGCUCAGGACGAACGCUGGCGGCGUGCUUAACACAUGCAAGUCGAACGGUGAUGUCAGAGCUUGCUCUGGCGGAUCAGUGGCGAACGGGUGAGUAACACGUGAGUAACCUGCCCCCGACUCUGGGAUAACUGCUAGAAAUGGUAGCUAAUACCGGAUAUGACGAUUGGCCGCAUGGUCUGGUCGUGGAAAGAAUUUCGGUUGGGGAUGGACUCGCGGCCUAUCAGGUUGUUGGUGAGGUAAUGGCUCACCAAGCCUACGACGGGUAGCCGGCCUGAGAGGGUGACCGGCCACACUGGGACUGAGACACGGCCCAGACUCCUACGGGAGGCAGCAGUGGGGAAUAUUGCACAAUGGGCGAAAGCCUGAUGCAGCAACGCCGCGUGAGGGAUGACGGCCUUCGGGUUGUAAACCUCUUUUAGUAGGGAAGAAGCGAAAG
rnacentral:rRNA from 2 species